rnacentral:rRNA from 1 species
UGGGGAAUAUUGGACAAUGGGCGCAAGCCUGAUCCAGCAAUGCCGCGUGUGUGAAGAAGGCCUUCGGGUUGUAAAGCACUUUUAUCAGGAGCGAAACGCUGUCGGCUAAUACCCGGCGGAACUGACGGUACCUGAGGAAUAAGCACCGGCUAACUUCGUGCCAGCAGCCGCGGUAAUACGAAGGGUGCAAGCGUUAAUCGGAAUUACUGGGCGUAAAGCGUGCGUAGGCGGUUUCUUAAGUCUGCUGUGAAAUCCCCGGGCUCAACCUGGGAAUGGCAGUGGAUACUGGGAGGCUAGAGUGUGUCAGAGGGUGGUGGAAUUCCCGGUGUAGCGGUGAAAUGCGUAGAGAUCGGGAGGAACAUCAGUGGCGAAGGCGGCCACCUGGGACAACACUGACGCUGAGGCACGAAAAGCGUGGGGAGCAAACAGGAUUAGAUACCCUGGUAGUCCACGCCCUAAAGCGAUGCGAACUGGAUGUUGGUCUCAACUCGGAGAUCAGUGUCGAAGCUAACGCGUUAAGUUCGCCGCCUGGGGAGUACGGUCGCAAGACU